GAUGAACGCUGGCGGCGUGCCUAAUACAUGCAAGUCGAGCGAACGGACGAGAAGCUUGCUUCUCUGAUGUUAGCGGCGGACGGGUGAGUAACACGUGGAUAACCUACCUAUAAGACUGGGAUAACUUCGGGAAACCGGAGCUAAUACCGGAUAAUAUUUUGAACCGCAUGGUUCAAAAGUAAAAGACGGUCUUGCUGUCACUUAUAGAUGGAUCCGCGCUGCAUUAGCUAGUUGGUAAGGUAACGGCUUACCAAGGCAACGAUGCAUAGCCGACCUGAGAGGGUGAUCGGCCACACUGGAACUGAGACACGGUCCAGACUCCUACGGGAGACAGCAGUAGGGAAUCUUCCGCAAAGGGCGAAAGCCUGACGGAGCAACGCCGCGUGAGUGAUGAAGGUCUUCGGAUCGUAAAACUCUGUUAUUAGGGAAGAACAUAUGUGUAAGUAACUGUGCACAUCUUGACGGUACCUAAUCAGAAAGCCACGGCUAACUACGUG
rnacentral:rRNA from 1 species